rnacentral:siRNA from 1 species
GGGCGGAUGCUGUGCUGCGAACUG